rnacentral:misc_RNA from 1 species
GGGGAGAAAAACAACAGAAAUUAUUUUCUGAUUGACUUUGGACAUUUGUUUUGUAGGUUACAUCUGUAUUGAAUACUGAAAAGAUUUAAUUUACUGGUGUUGGCAAAGUUUCCUAUGUGCAAUUAGUUCUUGGCUUAAAAGUGUCGAUUCUGUGAUGCAUAUUGACAGGCAUAGUUAAAUGGCAUGCUAUUAAUGAAUAGUAGAUAAACAUGUAUACAAAUAGAUAGAUGUGAUAAUGCAUUUUUAUACUGUCUUUUACAUUUCAACUCCUCUUAUCCCAACAUAAACUGAUUAAUGUCACAUGGAGCUCAUAAUUGUUUAUGCAGAUUUAAAGAAUAGGGGAUGCAUUAGGGUAAUACACAUCAACACUGAUAAUGCACCAAACAACCUUGGCUGCUGCUAAUAAAUAGAUAAUCAUAAGAGUUAAGUGGCUUCCCCUGGACAUCUGUAUCAUAAAAUAGAUUUUUCUAUCCUUUUAGUCACCUAGUUGGUCAUAUAGAACUUACUCAUGGUUGGAAUAGGAUUAAAUCUUUAAUAGUUUGAACCCUCUGUUAACUGGAAAGGUUCUUUUGGUUCUCUGAGGUCCCUUCUUAGGCUCAUCCUUUCUCGCAAGAAGAAUCUCUUUUAUCUCAGCACUUAAAUUAAUUUGUUGUUAUUUUGAUUUUUUCUCGAGGGUUAUCUCAACAAGAAGUUUUUUUUAGAGUGAAACUAUGGUUCAAGUUUUCUGAAACCGAGCUUUAAUAAUUGGGAAUUUGGAUGGAAACCUUUGUUUAGUUGGAUAACUUCUUUCCUCCUGUAAGAGUUUGCAGCUAACGUUGAAUUCUGUCAUGUUGCAGUAUAAAAAAGCACAGGCUCUG